ACGAAGGUUUGCUCCUCUCUUCACGCUGCCCCUCAUUCCUUUCUCAGAGCAUCCAUCUUCUCUCAGUCUGGCUCUAUCUGUUCAUAGCCUUUGCUUCCUCAAGUCUUGACCUCUAAUUGGAGAGUAUAACUUAUCGUCAACAAGUGGAACAAGAGUUUAUAUUGAUUUGGACAUUCCUGAGACUACUAAAUUCAAAGAUCAGCUUGUGGAAAAUAACCAACCAAUAGUACAAAUGCCAAAGCAAUUUAAUCCACAAGUGACAAUUCAAGAAGAGAUGAACAUCAACAGAAGUAACACAAGCAACCAAAUGAUUCUGUGGUGUAUAUGUCAUUUGAGAGUGGUGCAACAGUGUCACACGAGCAAAUGA